rnacentral:tRNA from 1 species
GCCUGGGUGGCUCAGUCAGUUAAGUGUCUGACUUCAGCUCAGAUCAUGAUCUCUUGGUUCGUGGGUUCAAGCCCCGCAUCAGGCU